rnacentral:lncRNA from 1 species
GAGGGCAAGGAGGAAGCAUAUGAACCAGGAGAAGCUAAAUGAUAAAGUUUGUAGGAAAAGAAUCAGGAAGUAGCAACCCAGGUCUGCUAUGGGUUCUCCAUGAUCAAUCACCAGAGACUCCAUUCACGAAGGGUCCCCUACUCUGCCAAAGCCGACAUUGUCACUCCCAUCAUCUUCUUCCAGAAUGCUGCUGGAAAGCCCAUCUGUAUCUCCGCAUUCCAAGAAGUGACUAGAAGAAGGACUUAGCCAGGUGUUUGCACUCUUUCUCUGGAAGCUGUAUUCAAAUUCCACAACACGCUUGCUCUACCUCUGACAAGGAACAUCAUCAUGUGUCUACACAAAUGUCUCAGAGAAGCUAUGAAAGACUCAUCUGUUAGCUGAGCCGCCGUGCACCCAGCUAAACUGUAAAGUGCUUUCUCAUAAAUAACAAAUACCAGGAGUAUGAUAUUUUGUAAAAGAAUCAACAGAUGAAAAUGCAAGUUAAAGAGGGAACUCCGUUUUUGAUCUCAACUCUGAGUGAUUUUAGACAAACCACAUUGCCUCUCAUUCCUUCAUUUCAGAUAUGAAACUGACAUCAGGGAAUCUUUUCUGCUGCUCUUUCCAGCACGUUCCAUAUUUUUCUGUCUGUGUAUCUCUAAUUUAUCAGCAUUUUCCUUCACUUAAUCUCCCUCGUUCCUCAAAAGAAACAAGUAUUUCCAUUUGUGGGGUUGAAAGUGAAAAUUCAGGAACUUAAGUGAGGCAUCUAGAGUGAGGUGGAGUUGAGCUUGUACUCUCUUAUUCUCGGAUUCCAUACAAUUGUGUUCUAUAUAGAGAAAUAGUAUUGAUAAAAUCAUCUCAAACAGGUGCUCUAUGUUGAAUGUCUACUUCCCUAUUAGUUCAACAGAGUUGCAUUAAGUUGAUUUCCUGUAGGCAGUGAAAUAGAAUAUAGACAUUUUAUAUCGGACUCUUUGACCAAAAUUCAGGUUCAAAGGUGUUGAGGAACAAGCAAGUGUUAACAAAAAAUGUAUUUGUAAAAUGUUGAUUCAUACCUAGCUCCUGGCUUUUAAAUGUACAUUUCAGAGAAGUGGUAAAGCACACUCAAAAAAUGUGUACUCUACAUUUUUUAAAAAUAAGAGUAUUACAGUCUGUUGCAGUAAUGUAGGUUACAGAGAGUUGAGGAGACUUUUAUGGUGUGAGUUUUGCUGUUUUGGACUAUAUUAUACCCUUUGUGUUUACAUAAAGCAAUGCUUUAUGGCAGUCACUAGGCCAUUACUUUUUAAGUUCAGAUAAUAUUGUUUCAUAGUUUAUUUGGGAAGGAAAGGGGCUGGGCUUUAAAUAAUUACAGUUUGGUUGCAUACAGUUUUUGAUAACUAAGUAUUAGAUUCAUUUCAGAUGGGAAUUUAUGUUUCUCGUAUGUUCCAACUGAAAUUAUUAUCCUAAUAAAUCUCAGUCCUCCAUGAGAGACUCA